UACCCGUAAUGUUUCCGCCGAG
rnacentral:miRNA from 1 species